rnacentral:lncRNA from 11 species
CACAACUCUAGAUGUGAAAUCCUUUGGUCUGCUGUCAGUUCACAACACAGAAUUUAUAAAUGCUACCCGUUUAAAAAAUGGUGGGAAGAAUUAACAGCGGGUUGCAUCCACAUCAGGAAGACAGUGAACCAACUCCAGGUUUUUGACACUUGGAUUAAAGCAGAGAGCAAGGUUUCUAUCCCACCACCAACUACAAGGAAGAGCAAGAAAACACUUAGAUAUCAACAUGGAGAAUAACACAACAAACAACAAGGAGAAAAGCACUGACGAAAUAAAAGAUAAUCCUGCAGUAAAGAAGAAAGUGGUAAGUUAUGUAGUUUUGUGUUGACAUUCGUAAAAUGGU